CGCCUAUACCACCAGCCGUCCAAGCAACCGGUCCGGCGGCGAUGGCGCGGGCACCGGCGACGACGCGAUCCAUCAUCUAAAUCUCCACUGUUCUAUAUGAAGGCAACGUGGUCGUUCACAUCAGGCUUUACCAUGCCUCCACCCCUCCCACCACGCCCGCAAUUCGAGGACCAUCCUCGGAUUCCGUCCGAGAGUCCUCGCCUCACAUACUACCAUUCAUGGACUGAACGUAGAUGGAAGAUGAAGCCUCCAGUCCGCGUCUCUUCGUCCCAAGAUCUCGCGCCUGCGCCGUCGAUGGAAGGCUCGCCUCCGGUCCGCGCAUACGCCCGCACCCAAGAUGUCGCCCCUCCCCUCACCGUUGUCCUUGCUUCCUCCCUCCGGGACCUGCUGUCUUUCUCACUCCAUGGCG
rnacentral:misc_RNA from 1 species